GGGAAUGUGGCUCAGAGGUAGAGCGCUUGCCUUGCAUGCAUGAGGCCUUGGGUUUGAUUCCUCAGGGUUUUG
rnacentral:tRNA from 1 species